rnacentral:rRNA from 1 species
CCUACGGGAGGCAGCAGUGAGGAAUAUUGGUCAAUGGACGAGAGUCUGAACCAGCCAAGUAGCGUGAAGGAUGACUGCCCUAUGGGUUGUAAACUUCUUUUAUAUGGGAAUAAAAUGUUCCACGUGUGGGAUUUUGUAUGUACCAUAUGAAUAAGGAUCGGCUAACUCCGUGCCAGCAGCCGCGGUAAUACGGAGGAUCCGAGCGUUAUCCGGAUUUAUUGGGUUUAAAGGGAGCGUAGGUGGAUUGUUAAGUCAAUUGUGAAAGUUUGCGGCUCAACCGUAAAAUUGCAGUUGAAACUGGCAGUCUUGAGUACAGUAGAGGUGGGCGGAAUUCGUGGUGUAGCGGUGAAAUGCUUAGAUAUCACGAAGAACUCCGAUUGCGAAGGCAGUUCACUGGACUGCAACUGACACUGAGGCUCGAAAGUGUGGGUAUCAAACAGGAUUAGAUACCCCAGUAGUC